UCUAUCUAUAUUAUCUUUUAUUUUCAGAAACGAUGGUGGCCUUAAAGGUAGAUGUUCAACUAUUGUUUCUGCAUCUGGUUCAUCUGGAAGGGUCAAUAUCUGCAAUUAUGGAAAGAAUUCCAAGCAAGUGACAACGUUCGGUUUGGCAUGCUCCAUGGAGAAAUAGUAGGGCUACAUUAAGAUAUAUCAAGGUUGGAGACCAAAGUUGAGAGGCUAAAGUCGGUAGUACAAGUUAAAGAUAGGGAGAUUGCAACAGUUACACGAAUAGAAGCCAAAGGUAAGGCUGCUUUUAAAGCUCAAAUUGACAAGCUACAGUAGGAAAAUGUUGAACUCCAGAGAAGGGUUAUUGGCAAUCAGCAAGUAAGAACUCAACAAAUACAUGAGAUGAAGAAGAAAGAAAAGGAGUACAUCAAAUUGCAGCUGAGAUAGGAGCUUUUGUAUGUCUAAACCAAGUCUUAAGGGAGAAAAAGAAAGAAUUCCUACCAAACCCUUCCACCAAGACCAUAGAAUUCCCUUGAAGAGGCAGAAUACAUAAUCAUCAGUCUAAAGCUUACAGUACUCAAGAGACAAAAGAGUUGAAUUGAAAUGUUCAUCAUGUUUGAAAUGCCAACAAAGUUAAAUGGUAGAUGAGAUGUGUUGAAUUCGUGAUUGACUCAAAGCUACAUUAAGAUAUAUCAAGGUUGGAGACCAAAGUUGAGAGGCUAAAGUCGGUAGUACAAGUUAAAGAUAGGGAGAUUGCAACAGUUACACGAAUAGUACAAUCUCGAGACUUGCCUAAAUUUUAUGAUUUCUCUCUAUUUAACAUUGAACAAGGAAGUUCUUUUCCACAGGAAGCUAAAGGUAAGGCUGCUUUUAAAGCUCAAAUUGACAAGCUAUAGUAGGAAAAUGUUGAACUCCGGAGAAGGGUUAUUGGCAAUCAGCAAGUAGGAACUCAACAAAUACAUGAGGUGAAGAAGAAAGAAAAGGAGUACAUCAAAUUGUGUGUGAGAUACCUUUUAGUUAUUUUUCGGUUCUAGGCUCAAGUUGGAUUCAGAAAGAAGGGUGACGACGUGGAACUUGGAAUGGCAAGAAAACUGAUAACGAUUUCUAUAAAAGGAUAGUGGAUGCUUAUGAAGUUAAAAAUCAAGAAUUGACGUCAGAGAAUGCUGAUUUAAAGACAUUGACCAGUAAAUGCAGGUUUGCAACAAUUUUGUUAUUGUCUGUGUUUUAAGUUUACUAAAUUUUUAUCAAAUAAAUUUUGGAA